GACGGAAGGUGCAAGCGUUGCUCGGAAUCACUGGGCGUAAAGGGUGCGUAGGCGGCUUGGUAGGUCUGGUGUGAAAGCCCCGGGCUCAGCCCGGGAAGGGCACUAGAAACUGCCAAGCUAGAGUGCCGGAGGGGAGAGUGGAAUUCCUGGUGUAGCGGUGAAAUGCGUAGAGAUCCGGAGGAACCCCCAGAGGCGAAGGCGGCGCCCUGGCCCGACACUGACGCUCAGACACGACAGCAUGGGGAGCGAACGGG
rnacentral:rRNA from 1 species